rnacentral:lncRNA from 1 species
AGUGUGCUUAUGAUAAAGGAGAGGGUGAGAUUUUGAUUCCUCUGCAUCUGUGAAUACUGUUUUGCUCCUCCUACAAUGUCAUGACAAAGAACAGAAACUCUCCAGGUGGUGCUAAAAUGUCCUUAACCUUCCCAGCCAGAGGAAGUAUGAGCCAGAUAAAUUAUUAUUUUUUUGGUAUGAUAGGUUUCUUUCACUUUUAUAUUUGUACCAUAAUCUCAACCAGAAACACAGGCUACUUUGGAACUGGCUGUGGAAUGAAUGUUGGCUUAGAACUUACAACAAUCCUCCUGCCUCAGCCUUCUGAAUGUGAGAGUUUGAAAGAACCUUGUGGACCAGAACUGUGUGCUGCUUGCAUCACUGCUGGGAUGUGCAUUUCCAUACAGAGAGACAAAGGAGUUGGUUUUUACUCCCAAGCCUUUUGCUACUUAAAUAAAGUUAUUGGCUGCCUAAUGAA